AAGGUUCCCGUCUUCAGUGCAGGUUGCAGGCGGGAACCGGCCUCGUCCCAGCCCUGGGCCUGGGAGAGAGAAGGAGGCCGAAGAAAACCAACUUCGGCAACCUCCGGAGACAGGACGUUUAAAAAAGGCUAACUUGGCUGGGCGCUGAGGCUCACGCCUGUAAUCCCAGCACUUUGGGAGGCCGAGGCAGGAGGAUCACUUGAGCUCAGGAACCAGCCUGGGCAACAUGGCGAGACCCCAUGUCUACAAAAAAAAAAAAAAAAAAAUUAGCCAGUCAUGGUGGUGCGCGCCUGCAGUCCCAGCUACCCCGGAGGCCGACGCGGGAGGAUCGCUGGAGCCGAAAGGUCGAGGCUGCCGUGAGCCGAGGUUGCACCACUGCACUCCAGCCUGGGCGACAGCGCAAGACCCUGUCUAAAAAUAAAUUUAAAAAAAAUUGCGAGGCCUUCAUUCUAUGCUAGUACUGUACUAGGUGCUAAUUAUUAAGUAAAACCGACUGAACUCUUGCCCUCAUGGAGCUUACAGUUCAGUGGAGAAGACAUUACCUAAAGCAGUAUGACUAAAUAUAUAAUGACAUAUUGUAAUAACUUACAUAACAGUACAAUGAGAGGGUGGGGAGGGAUUAUUUAUGCUUUAAGAAGUCGGGAAUCCUGGAACGGAAUGACAUUAGACUGAGACACGGAAGAGCCGCAGGAUCUAUUGCUGGGGAAGAGCAUUCCAGACAGGGAGGAACUCGUGCCGAAUGAUCCCGCUGUGGACAGGGAAUUUAAUCUGAGCUUCGGUUUCCUCUUCUGUCAAAUGUCAUGCAAGAGUUACUUUCAGCCGUGGUCCAGGCACUGUGAAAAAUGCAGAAGCCACACUAGGUGCCCUCUCUCAGGAUUCCCAACCACCUUUACCAAGCAGAGAUGGUAUUCAUCCCACAUUUUUAAUGCUAGAUAUGCUCCCGCCCGGUGCUUCUCUAAUAAUGUUUUUUAAAAGCCGAAGCUGG
rnacentral:lncRNA from 1 species